rnacentral:hammerhead_ribozyme from 1 species
AUCCAACUGACGAAUCCCAAAUAGGACGAAGUGAGUGUCUUGAAU